rnacentral:tRNA from 1 species
AGCCGCAUGGCACAAUGGAUAAUGAGUCUGCCUACGGAGCAGAAGAUUGCAGGUUCAAAUGCUGCCGUGGUCG